rnacentral:lncRNA from 1 species
AAAGGAGAGGCAGCACAUUUCAUUCCAGUGUGGUCUCGCUAGCACCCAUGCUUGGAGCACCUUCCAAAACAGCCGCUUUUCACUCUUAGAGCAGGGUGUGGAUUUGCCAUCGGGAUUCCCUGAACCGGGAAGCAUUUCCUGAGUAAGAAAGACAUACCGAUAAUUCUACAUGCUGUAUUUAAAGGCCUUCUCUGAAUACAUUCCAUGCCUUGGGAGGCACUGCAGUUACAUUUCAGUCACUAACUGAUUAGCAAGUGCUCGUGUGCUGGGUGUAGAGGGUACAGACCUGAAGAUGCUCAGCCCCUGUGCCCAAGGGGCUUGGCGCCUCAUAGGGAGGAGGGCAGAUAGAGCAUGGUCAUGAACGAGCUUGGGUGGGGUGCCGUGGCAUGUGGGCUCGGCAGUCAGGGAUGGCCUGAUGGUGCCGCAGGUCUCAAGUCCAAAUGGAACAGUUCUCCCCGUGCCUUAUUUGAAAACAGUUGAGAAUUCUU